rnacentral:rRNA from 1 species
GUGUCAGCCGCCGCGGUAAUACAGAGGUCCCAAGCGUUGUUCGGAUUCACUGGGCGUAAAGGGUGCGUAGGUGGCGGGGUAAGUUCGAUGUGAAAUCUCUGGGCUCAACCCAGAAAUGGCAUUGAAUACUAUCUCGCUUGAGGGUCGGAGGGGAGACUGGAAUUCUCGGUGUAGCAGUGAAAUGCGUAGAUAUCGAGAGGAACACCAGUGGCGAAGGCGAGUCUCUGGACGACUCCUGACACUGAGGCACGAAAGCUAGGGGAGCAAACAGGAUUAGAUACCCCCGUAGUCC